AGGAUCAACGCUGGCGGCGUGCCUAACGCAUGUAAGUCGAACGCAAGGCCUUCGGGCUUUGAGUGGCGAACGGCUGAGGAACACGUACGAACCUGCCCGCUUGUGGGGAAUAACUCACCGAAAGGUGGGCUAAUACCGCGUACGCUCACACGAGAGUGUGGGGAAAGUCGCAAGACGCUGGCGGAGGGGCGUGCGGCCCAUCAGGUUGUUGGUGGGGUAACGGCCUACCAAGCCAUCGACGGGUAGCUGGUCUGUGAGGACGAUCAGCCAGACUGGGACUGCGAAACGGCCCAGACACCUACGGGUGGCAGCAGCGAGGAAUCUUCCACAAUGGGCGCAAGCCCGAUGGAGCAACGCCGCGUGGAGGACGACGGCCUUCGGGUUGUAAACUCCUUUCGGGGGGAUGACACGGACAGUACCCCCAGAAGAAGCCCCGGCUAACUCUGUGCCAGCAGCCGC
rnacentral:rRNA from 1 species